CCUCGCAGUAGGGCCUCCUGAACCCCAUGUGUCACUGGGGCACCAAGGGGUGGCAGUGUCUUCCUCUAAAAUGAAAUGAGGAUACAGGGGGGGCCCCCAGGUGGCUCAGUCGGAGAAGCGUCCGACUUUGGCUCAGGUCAUGAUCUCAC